rnacentral:rRNA from 1 species
UAGGGAAUCUUCCGCAAUGGACGCAAGUCUGACGGAGCAACGCCGCGUGAGUGAAGAAGGAUUUCGGUUCGUAAAACUCUGUUGUUAGAGAAGAACAGCGCAUAGAGUAACUGUUAUGCGUGUGACGGUAUCUAACCAGAAAGCCACGGCUAACUACGUGCCAGCAGCCGCGGUAAUACGUAGGUGGCAAGCGUUGUCCGGAUUUAUUGGGCGUAAAGCGAGCGCAGGCGGUCAAUAAAGUCUGAUGUGAAAGCCCCCGGCUCAACCGGGGAGGGUCAUUGGAAACUGGUUGACUUGAGUGCAGAAGAGGAGAGUGGAAUUCCAUGUGUAGCGGUGAAAUGCGUAGAUUUAUGGAGGAAAACCAGUGGCGAAGGCGACUCUCUGGUCUGUAACUGACGCUGAGGCUCGAAAGCGUGGGUAGCAAACAGG